UACGAAGGGGGCUAGCGUUGCUCGGAAUCACUGGGCGUAAAGCGCACGUAGGCGGACUCUUAAGUCAGAGGUGAAAUCCUGGAGCUCAACUCCAGAACUGCCUUUGAUACUGGCAAUCUUGAGUCCGGAAGAGGUGAGUGGAACUCCUAGUGUAGAGGUGGAAUUCGUAGAUAUUAGGAAGAACACCAGUGGCGAAGGCGGCUCACUGGUCCGGUACUGACGCUGAGGUGCGAAAGCGUGGGGAGCAAACAGG
rnacentral:rRNA from 1 species